GAUGAACGCUGGCGGCGUGCUUAACACAUGCAAGUCGAACGAAGCGAGAACUAAAGCGCAAGCAGAGGUUCUUGACUGAGUGGCGGACGGGUGAGUAACGCGUGGAUAACCUGCCUUUCACAGGGGGAUAACAGCUGGAAACGGUUGCUAAUACCGCAUGAGCCUCUUUUGUCGCAUGACGGGAGAGGGAAAGAGAAAUCGGUGAGAGAUGGAUCCGCGUCCGAGUAGCUAGUUGGAGGGGUAACAGCCCACCAAGGCGACGAUCGGUAGCCGACCUGAGAGGGUGGACGGCCACAUUGGGACUGAGACACGGCCCAA
rnacentral:rRNA from 1 species